rnacentral:rRNA from 1 species
UUGAACUCUGCAAAUUGACACCGUAACUUCGGGAGAAGGUGUGCCUCCUGUGGUGAGUGGACUUGCUCCACGAGCUGCGAGAGGUCUCAGUAAAUUGGGGGCUGCGACUGUUUACCAAAAACACAGCACUCUGCGAACACGAAAGUGGAUGUAUAGGGUGUGACGCCUGCCCGGUGCCGGAAGGUUAAUUGAUGGGGUCAGCCGCAAGGCGAAGCUCCUGAUCGAAGCCCCGGUAAACGGCGGCCGUAACAAUAACGGUCCUAAGGUAGCGAAAUUCCUUGUCGGGUAAGUUCCGACCUGCACGAAUGGCGUAACGCUGGCCCCACUGUCUCGACCCGAGACUCAGUGAAGUUGAAAUCGCUGUGAAGAUGCGGCGUACCUGCGGCAAGACGGAAAGACCCCGUGAACCUUUACUAUAGCUUUACACUGAACUUUGAACCUGUUUGUGUAGGAUAGGUGGGAGGCUUUGAAGCGUGGACGCUAGUCCGCGUGGAGCCAACCUUGAAAUACCACCCUGGCAUGUUCGGAGUUCUAACCCUGGUCCGUGAUCCGGAUCGGGAACAGUGUAUGGUGGGUAGUUUGACUGGGGCGGUCUCCUCCUAAAGAGUAACGGAGGAGUGCAAAGGUACCCUCAGCGCGGUCGGUCAUCGCGCACAGAGUGCAAUGGCAUAAGGGUGCUUAACUGCGAGACGGACAUGUCGAGCAGUAGCGAAAGCUGGUCAUAGUGAUCCGGUGGUUCUGUAUGGAAGGGCCAUCGCUCAACGGAUAAAAGGUACUCCGGGGAUAACAGGCUUAUUCCUCCCAAGAGUCCACAUCGACGGAGGAGUUUGGCACCUCGAUGUCGGCUCAUCUCAUCCUGGGGCUGUAGCAGGUCCCAAGGGUAUGGCUGUUCGCCAUUUAAAGUGGUACGCGAGCUGGGUUCAGAACGUCGUGAGACAGUUCGGUCCCUAUCUGCCGUAGGCGUUGGAGAAUUGAGGGUGAGCUGCUCCUAGUACGAGAGGACCGGAGUGGACGCACCUCUGGUGUUCCGGUUGUCACGCCAGUGGCAUUGCCGGGUAGCUAUGUGCGGACGGGAUAACCGCUGAAAGCAUCUAAGCGGGAAGCCCCCCCCAAGAUUAGUUCUCCCUGGGAACUCGAUUCCCCUGAAGGGCCGUCACAGACUAUGACGUUGAUAGGCUGGGUGUGUACACGCAGCAAUGCGUUGAGCUGACCAGUACUAAUUGCCCGUGAGGCUUGACUA